CCGACUCCGGGCUCGCCGCCUCCCGGGCCGGCUCGGCGCCCCGCACUCCCGGUUCCCCGCGCUCCCGGCGCCCCGCCGAGCGCACCAUGCCGCAGCUGGACUCGGGCGGCGCGGGCGGCGGCGACGACCUGGGCGCGCCCGAUGAGCUGCUGGCCUUCCAGGACGAGGGCGAGGAGCAGGACGACAAGAGCCGCGACAGCACCGCGGGCCCCGAGCGCGACCUGGCCGAGCUCAAGUCGUCGCUCGUGAACGAGUCCGAGGGCGCGGCCGGGGGCGCAGGGGCCCGGGAGGCCGGGGGCGCAGCGAGCGGCGAGGCCGAGGUCGGGCCCGAGGCUCUCGGGCGGGAGCACAGUUCGCAGAGACUCUUCGGCGACAAACUUCCAGAGUCGCUGGAGGACGGCCUGAAGGCCCCGGAGUGCGCCAGCGGCAUGUACAAAGAGACCGUCUACUCCGCCUUCAAUCUGCUCAUGCACUACCCGGCCCCCUCGGGCGCAGGGCAGCACCCCCAGCCGCAGCCCCCGCUGCACAAGGCCAGCCAACCCCCCCACAGCGUCCCCCAACUCUCUCCUCUCUACGAACAUUUCAGCAGCCCACACCCCACGCAGGCCCCUGUGGACAUCAGCCAGAAACAAGGAGUUCACAGGCCCCUACAGACUCCUGACCUCUCCAGCUUCUACUCUCUGACCUCAGGCAGCAUGGGACAGCUGCCCCACACUGUGAGCUGGCCCAGCCCUCCUCUCUACCCCCUGUCCCCUUCCUGCGGAUAUAGACAGCACUUCCCUGCCCCCACCGCAGCCCCUGGCGCCCCCUACCCCAGGGACAGACCUGGUGCCUGGCACGCAGCAGCAAGGAACUCAGCAGGCAUUUCCAGCCCUCCUGGAGGUCACAGCCCAGGGUUCACCCACCCGUCCCUGAUGCUGGGCUCUGGUGUACCUGGUCACCCAGCAGCCAUCCCCCACCCAGCCAUCGUGCCUUCCUCAGGGAAGCAGGACUUGCAGCCGUAUGACCGCAGCCUGAAGACCCAGGCAGAAUCCAAGGCAGAGAAGGAGGCUAAGAAGCCAACCAUCAAGAAGCCCCUCAAUGCGUUCAUGCUGUACAUGAAGGAGAUGAGAGCCAAGGUCAUUGCAGAGUGCACACUCAAGGAGAGCGCUGCUAUCAACCAGAUCCUGGGUCGCAGGUGGCAUGCACUGUCUCGGGAAGAGCAGGCCAAGUAUUAUGAGCUGGCCCGCAAGGAAAGGCAGCUGCACAUGCAGCUGUACCCAGGCUGGUCAGCGCGGGACAACUACGGGAAGAAGAAGAGGCGCUCGAGGGAGAAGCACCAGGAAUCCACCACAGAAAAUACCUGUGGGUAUGAAAAGAUUUACCUGCCAAGUGGUUGAAGUUGCCUCGUUUAGGUUUCGGACUGGGCCUAGCAGGGCCAGGGCUGAGAAACUGCAGUGACUAAGGAGGAAAAAGAAAUGCACUCGGUACUUACCCGGAGAAGGCCGCUGCCCCAGCCCCGUUCCUUCCGAUGACAGUGCUCUAGGCUGCCCCAGGUCCCCAGGUCCCCAGGACUCGCCCUCAUACCUCCUGCUGCCCCACUUCCCCACAGAACUGCUUGCUAGCCCUGUGGACCCUGCACCAACAUCCCCAGGUCUUUCCGCUGCCCUCAGCCUCCCAGCCCUUGGACCCCCACAGGGCCCCUACAGCAUCCUGCAGAGCACACAAGUUCAGCAACAGGAGUCUCAGAGACAGGCAGCCUAGCACAUGCAGGACACUGGGCCUCCUCCAGGGGCACAGCCCCAGCCCUGAGAGGAGGCGGCAGAGGCCCUGUUAACCUCAGCAUCCAGGCCAAGAGGUUGAACAACUGCCUGAAUCUGAGGUCAUCAAUUUAAACACUCAAGUGGUGAUCAAGUCUGUCCCCAUGUCAUCUCAUUAAGGACAUCCUGGUGACUACGGCAACCUGCAUCUAGGGGUUUUUUUGUUUAACAACUUGUCUUUGAUAGUCAGAUACCCCUGCCUCCCCUGCUUUUCUGCUGUAGGUCAUAGAUGGACUGGAUGGAGCCCAGCUACCUUCUCUACCAGUGGCUCUGUCCCCUCUGCCAUACCCUCCCCAUACCAGACCCUUCAUGGACCAAGAAUGACCUCGUUUAUCAAAUGUGAGCAAGGCAACAACCACAAAGCUCAAAAAGACAACAGUUCUCCAGGGCCUGGAGAAGCUAUAUACAGGACACCAGCCGCAAUCCAUAAGCUGGACUAGAGGGAAGCCUCUGACCAUGUUCUCAGGGAUUUGCAUGAGGAAGAGGGCAUGGAGUAAGUUUAGUCCUACCAGCAAGGCAACAGGAACAGUCUGACACUCUCCUGUCAGGCAAGUGUGGAUGGUGGCUCUACUUGAGAUUACUGGGAAAUGUUUCCUGAGAAACCCAGCAGCCUAAAAAGCUGUGAUAGCAAGGCCCCAGGCAAUGAGAGACAGGAAGCUUAGUUUCAAUAGGUGGACAAAGUCCUAGCCCAACUCCAGUGUGCAUCCCUCCCUUACAGCGCUUUCUGUUUCAUUUCCAGCUUAGUGUGGAUGGAGCCAGCUCUUGGGCAGCUGAGGGCAAACCUCAGGUUUCCAACAGCCACCUAUCCAGCAUCCAGACCAGUCAGCUUCAGUUUUCCUAUGGGGCUGCAGGCAGAAGGACCAGUGCAACUAAGGCAAGGAGUCCAGAAACCUCUAGUGGUGGGCACAGGUUUUUACCACAGCCUACUUUCCCAUUUUGAGCCAAGCUUCAACCCUGAGCCUUGAAAAACAAGUCUUUUUAAUUUAAUGGUUUUGUGUUUUUUUGCCUCCUCACUGUACAUAACCUGAAGCCAAAGGAAAAGGGCUCUGUUUUCACACAUGCCCUUCAAUAAAAGCCUUUAGUCCCCACGCAGAAUCCAAAGUUCACAUAUUCUAGUGUAGUGUUGUAACAAAUCUUAGAAACAUGGAUCAAUGUAGCAAAGUAUUUUUAUACUGUUAAUGCAUUAUCAUAGAAAAAAUUUUUUUAAAUAUGAAAAUAAAAGAUACUUUUUAUUGGG